UUCAUUGUGGCAGAACAGUUCCUUGAUCCAGCGAGCAACUCCAGGAUUCACAGACAUCAAAGAGCCUGCAAUAGUGAGAAAAUACUCAAGCUCAACUAUUAGUCUCAUAACAGUACUGUAAUGCUGUCUGAAUGUUUUUAUCUUCCCUCGGAGUGUCUGAAAUCAAAUCCAAGACUUCAGGAUUGAGGACCAAGAAAUAAACUUUCUUGCUGAGCUAGAGCAUGAUGGUCAGCAAAGAGGAGGACAAAACCAUCUGAAGCCAUCUCUGGUAGAGUUACUGUUUGGCUGUGUCUUCUUUGCCAAAUACAGGAACAGAGAUCUUAUUUUAAGCUACUGUUUGCUCUGACUUGCAGAACUAUACUUCAUAUGCAAACUGAUUUUUAUUUUUUUCCCUCCUGGGAGAGAAUAGGUUCAGCCUGGGUCAACAAUUACUUCCAAGAAUUAGGAAAGCCUGAAUGCAAUAUUACUGCUUUUACCAUUCACAUAUGAUUAAUUCUGGUAAACUAUACUACCUCGGAAUUCAUAACCAUGUGUGACAAAGCACCAUGCUCCCAUUAUCUAACAUGUGCAACUGCUCCACUGGCACAUCUCAUCCAGCAGUGGCCUGUAGCAGCGCUUCCACCAACAGUCCCUCUGCAUUAGUUUUCUAGAAGAAACCUACCUGGAAAAUGACGGCGGUGUGACACUCUCCAGUCAGUGGGUGAGUGGAAGCAGUGAUAAUCCCCUGGUGCAAGGUAGAUUACACAGUGGUAGAGUUCAUUUCCUUCCUUUGUGACUAGCUGUUGCUGAAAUGAGUUGCCAGGUGGGACUGCAUAGAAAGAAAGGAGUUAAAAGUACUCUUCCUGCCAUCAUCUACCAUAGCUGAGCAGCCUGUAUUAAAAACAACAGACUAAAUGCAGUCUGCAUGUGUUGAUAAGACUAGACAUAGGCCCAAGAAUCCAAUAUUUCAGUGUAUUCUUUUCCCUUUACAAAAUGAAAUUAGAUCCUGUGCUGUUUUAAACAUUUUGUAAAUUCAUCAGUUUAUGCUGUGCUGCUUAGGGAACGUAAACUCCAAAACUGAAAUCCACUGAGACAUGGAUGUUUUCCUAAAGUUACUGUUUGAAGUAACAAAAUUUGUGAAGAGGUCUUAGGUUUAUGAAGUUCUCUGUGGAGAUCAUGUUGAAAAAGCCUGCUGUUAGCAGAACUUGGUCUCUCCAGUCCCCUCUCCAGUUUAGCAAAAUGUGUUGCUCUUAUCAAAACUGAAGGCCAUGAAGAUGGUGUUCAAUGUGCAACAGAAGUGGUGACAACACAUAUCAGUAGAGGUACAGCACUUGUGCAUGAAAUGCAUUAGGGAGCAGCCAGUCUUUGCUAACCAGGUGCUCAGGCACAUGGUCUGUCAGCAGGAAUGCUACAGCACUGUUAUCGUGGCAGACCUUGGAGUCAUUGUAAUUAUUAAGAUAACCACAGAAAAUAGAACCAACCAAUUAAACUGGGAGAAUUAGAACAAGUCACAUAGUGCAAGCUACUGAUGUGAAAGAAGAACUACAACAGUGACAUGUUUCUCCCCAAAAAUAUAACAAAUAUCAGAACUGUUUUUUUCCCUGGAAAUGUGAUGUCUACGAACAUUUAGAAUGGGCAGAGCACGACAGGUGUGAGGUCAGAACUUACCCUCACUAAAACGGAAAUCUUCUGUGCUGAUGCGAGGUCCCAGAAAAGACUCCAGAGAAUAAGUAACCCCUUUUACUUGCUCCACUUCACAGUUCUUUACUUGUCCAAAGUUAAGGAUCUUUCCAUCAGAGGGACUAAUCUACAGCACAGAUGAAAAA